AAGACCCUGGUAGGAGCUGGUCACGUGAUCUGCUAAAAUCUGGCAGAUUUGUAAUUGAUGAUGAUGAUGAUAAAUUUAUAACUUGCAUUUUGUUUUACAAGUUUGAUUUGAUUUUAUUUAAAAGGAAUCCAAGAUAGUUAUUUAGAAAUCUGCUAGAUUUUAGCAGAUCACGUGACCAGCUCCUACCAGGGUCUU